CUGAUUGUAGUCUUGACAGAUUAGUCGCUGAAGAUGAUCUUAUAUCGACCUGAUACGUCAGGUCGGAUGGCGAAGUGGACAGUAAAACUUGAUGAAUUCGACAUAUAAUAUUAUCCAUGACCAUCCAUGAAGGCGCAAGUUUUAGCUAAUUUUAUCAUCGAAUGUAUAAUACUUGACAAUAAAUCAGUGGAUACAGAUAACAACACAAUAAGGCAGGCUAUGACUCCCGAACCCGACC
rnacentral:lncRNA from 1 species